GAUGAAGAACGUAGCGAAAUGCGAUAAGUAAUGUGAAUUGCAGAAUCCAGUGAAUCAUCGAAUCUUUGAACGCACAUUGCGCCCGCCAGCAUUCUGGCGGGCAUGCCUGUUCGAGCGUCAUUUCAACCCUCGACCUCCCCUUGGGGAGGUCGGCGCUGGGGACCGGCAGCACACCGCCGGCCCUGAAAUGGAGUGGCGGCUCGUCCGCGGCGACCUCUGCGCAGUAAUACAGCUCGCACCGGGACCCCGACGCGGCCACGCCGUAAAACACCCAACUUCUGAACGUUGACCUCGAAUCAGGUAGGACUACCCGCUGAACUUAAGCAUAUCAAUAAGCGGAGGA
rnacentral:misc_RNA from 1 species